AGAGGCUUCGGCAAUGGGGGAAACCCUGACCGAGCGACGCCGCGUGGAGGAUGAAGGCCUUUGGGUUGUAAACUCCUGUCAUGAGGGAAGAAACGUCACCGUUCAAAUAGGUCGGUGACCUGACGGUACCUCAAGAGGAAGCUCCGGCUAACUCCGUGCCAGCAGCCGCGGUAAUACAGAGGGUGCGAGCGUUAAUCGGAAUUACUGGGCGUAAAGCGUGCGUAGACGGUUAUUUAAGUCGGGUGUGAAAGCCCCGGGCUCAACCUGGGAAUUGCAUUCGAGACUGAAUAGCUAGGGUACGGUAGAGGGAAGCGGAAUUUCCGGUGUAGCGGUGAAAUGCGUAGAUAUCGGAAGGAACAUCAGUGGCGAAAGCGGCUUCCUGGACCAGUACCGACGUUCAGGCACGAAAGCGUGGGGAGCAAAC
rnacentral:rRNA from 1 species